GGAGAGAUGGCUGAGUGGUUGAUAGCUCCGGUCUUGAAAACCGGCAUAGUCUUGAACAAAGAACUAUCGGGGGUUCGAAUCCCUCUCUCUCCU
rnacentral:tRNA from 1 species